rnacentral:misc_RNA from 1 species
UUUCCGUAGGUGAACCUGCGGAAGGAUCAUUAACAAAUCAGUGUUGGGGAGAGGGAAGGGGAUGAUGUGGUGAGGGGACCUCUAUGAGGGAACCGAACCUAUCUCACUCUGAACUCGCUUCCAAACAUAUUAGGUCGGGGCGAAAGCCUCGUAUCUUAUUCACGCUUGUAUUGUUUGACAAAAUUAUUGAUUGAGAAUUAAACGAGACAACUUUUGACAAUGGAUCUCUUGGCUCUU